rnacentral:rRNA from 1 species
GAUGAACGCUGGCGGCGUGCCUAAUACAUGCAAGUCGAGCGAACAGACGAGGAGCUUGCUCCUCUGACGUUAGCGGCGGACGGGUGAGUAACACGUGGAUAACCUACCUAUAAGACUGGGAUAACUUCGGGAAACCGGAGCUAAUACCGGAUAAUAUAUUGAACCGCAUGGUUCAAUAGUGAAAGACGGUUUUGCUGUCACUUAUAGAUGGAUCCGCGCCGCAUUAGCUAGUUGGUAAGGUAACGGCUUACCAAGGCAACGAUGCGUAGCCGACCUGAGAGGGUGAUCCGGCACACCGGAACUUGGACACGGUCCAGACUCCUACGGGAGGCAGCAGUAGGGAAUCUUCCGCAAUGGGCGAAAGCUUGACGGAGCAACGCCGCGUGAGUGAUGAAGGUCUUCGGAUCGUAAAACUCUGUUAUUAGGGAAGAACAAAUGUGUAAGUAACUAUGCACGUCUUGACGGUACCUAAUCAGAAAGCCACGGCUAACUACGUG